CUGGAUUGAAAAAUGCCCAGUACCUUCAAACUGUGUGCCUCAGCUGAGAUUUCUGAAGGGAAUUCUCAAAACUGAUGGGAGAGGCAUAGCUCAGACACCAGGACAGCACAGGCAAGUCACAUCUCAGCGCUCAAAAAUCAGGAGCCAUCAGGCCUUGGCAAUAAAUUCUCUAUUUACUGUUAAAACUGUUAUUUAAAGAAGCACAAAACUUUCCCCAAACUCUCCAUAGACAUAAUUCAGGUGCUGCAAGGCUCUAGAAACACAGCAUGGAAAAUCAGGGUUUUGGCACCUGAAUUGGCUUCAAACCAGAGAUCUAUCAAGUCUUGCUUUUCCAGAGUAUUUAAGGAAAAUGAGGAUUUGCUGUUCACCUGCUGGGAACCCCCGAUGUGUGGAGACGCGAGGCUUGACUCCAUGUUUCAGAAGCUCCCGAAGUGACCCAGUUUUCUUCUUGGCUGAAGAGCUGCUGCUGGCCUGGAGCAGUGAGGAGCUGCAGGACGAGUCAGGGCUGCUCUGGACAUGUGUCAUCACCCCCAUCUCCUCCUGCAAGACGGCAAUGUCUGUAAUUAUCCAGAUCCAGGAGGGAGCAGCAGUGAUCCACAGUUUUCCCUAUUUUAGAGGAGGUUUGGAUGCAACCCACAGCUCCACCCCUUUCCUUCCUCUAUCCCUGGAUGUUACAAGGACUUUCUGUCCCUUCAAGGAGGCUGUGCACACUGGAUAUAGGGCACUCUGGUGACAGUCACUGGCCAGUUGAUGCCAUCUCCAGGUCAUGGUUGUCAGGAAGUCCAAGUCUGCCCUUCUUGGAGAGCAGCAGCACAUUUCAAACAAAGCAGUCAGGACACUCUUCAACUUUGGAAAGACAUCCUUUUCAUGAUGGGCUUCAUUCCAAAAUAUCUGCAGUGUAUAUGGAAGCCUUUCAGGAGGGUCAGGGAUCCCUUCUGGAGUCCUUGUCAAGAAAAGCAGCAGCUCUCCAUGUCUCAAGGGCUUUUCUCUGUUAUGUGAUGAGCUCCAUGAGGACACAUCCAACUGACAGCACACCCCUCUGCAGCCUCAAAUCACAGCUCUGCUGUGCUUUCGAUCAUAGUGCAGCCAGGAAAUCAUGGAUCUUCUGGAUUUAGAUCCAGUGUGAUCCCAGCUGCUGAAUUAGAGCUUGAGAAGGUGUUCCUGGGCAGGUCCGUGCUUUCCCUGGAGGCUACAUGGCAGUCUGGCCCAGACUCGCAGUUCCAGCUGCCCCUUCCUCCCACAGCGGGCUGGGCAUGUCCCAGCUUGGGGUGUACCCAAACCCAGAGUCACUGUCACGCUCAAUCCCAUUCUGGAUUCGAGUCAGUCCUUUGGCUGAACCACUCAGGGCAGGAGGGAACCCGCAUGGAGGUCACUGCUCUGGUAAUGAGCCUGGAGGAAAAUGACUUGGGGUGCUGGAGAUGGUACCAGGUAUGCCCAGGUGGGCAGGAAGGCCAUGUCCCCUUGUCUAUCCUCACCAGUGCCACACCAGAAAGCCCAGUCCUGGUGGUCCCACUACAUCUCCCACAACCAGCCUAUCAUUUGCUUUGUGUAGGGAAGCAGUUAGGAAUGGGUGAGCAGAAUUAUUCCUGGACUUGGACACUCCCUGCUCAGAAAUACAGGAGCUGCUCAUGCCAGGUAAGGUUGGGACCUGGGAUAAGGCUGUC